GACGAACGCUGGCGGCGUGCUUAACACAUGCCAGUCGAACGGAAAGGCCCUGCUUGCAGGGUACUCGAGUGGCGAACGGGUGAGUAACACGUGGGUGAUCUGCCCUGCACUUCGGGAUAAGCCUGGGAAACUGGGUCUAAUACCGGAUAGGAGCCAUUUUUAGUGUGAUGGUUGGAAAGUUUUUUCGGUGUAGGAUGAGCUCGCGGCCUAUCAGCUUGUUGGUGGGGUAAUGGCCUACCAAGGCGGCGACGGGUAGCCGGCCUGAGAGGGUGGACGGCCAAAUUGGGGCUGAGAUACGGCCCAGACUCCUACGGGGGGCAGCAGUGGGGAAUAUUGCACAAUGGGCGGAAGCCUGAUGCAGCGACGCCGCGUGGGGGAUGACGGCCUUCGGGUUGUAAACUCCUUUCGCUAGGGACGAAGCUGUUUGUGACGGUACCUAGAUAAGAAGCACCGGCUAACUACGUG
rnacentral:rRNA from 1 species